rnacentral:rRNA from 1 species
UAGCUUAAAGUUUAUAUUUUAGGUGAGACCUGCUCAAUGAAGAUGUAGAUUAUUUAAAUAGCCGCAGUACUUUGACUGUGCUAAGGUAGCAUAAUAAAUUGGCUUUUAAUUGAAGUCUGGAAUGAAAGGUAAAUUUGAAAAAGAUUGUCUCUAAUUAGAUUUAUUAAACUUACUUAAUAGGUGAAAAUUCCUAUGUUUUUCAUAAUAGACGAGAAGACCCUAAGAAUUAUUAAAAAUAAGUUUAUUUUACUUUAAUUUUUUGUUGGGGCAACAACUUUGAACAUAAAACCAAAGGGUUAAAGAUUCUAAGACAAAUUUUAUUUUGAAAAAAAUUAAUUACCUUAGGGAUAACAGCAUAAUUUUCUUUUUAGAUUGUGACCUCGAUGUUGGAUUAAGGACCCCUUAGGUAAGCCACUUAAGAGAAUAGUUCUGUUCGAACUUUAUAUCCUU